GGGAACCACAGAACAAGUUCUGGGCUGGAGAUGUAGAUUUCAUUUGAGAGCUGCCAGUAGUAGAGAUGGUAAUUGAAGCCAUGGGAAUGGAGGCGAUUGUCCAGGGAGUGUAGGUAAAGUGAGAAUAGAUAAGUGCCAAAGGGCACAGUCUGGGUAUGUCAACAUUUAAGUGACAAUUUCAGAAAGAGAAGCCAAGGAAGAAACCAGAGAAAAGCAGUUGGAGAAGCAAGAAGGCAACCAGAAGUGGUCCUGGUACAGCUGUGAUGGGGAGACAAUGACGAAACAGCAGGAACUGGCACUGAGAGUUUUUGGUGUAGCUUGGGCUCUCCCCUCAUCAUCCUCUCCAGCUGGGAGUCAUGUGACAGAAGCAAGAAGCCUGUCACAGCGCACAUGUAAAAGAGCAAACUCCAGACACCCACGUCUUAUCUGUGCUGACCCACAAGCGUGAGGUGGCCCACCUUGGUGACUGGAAAUGACACCAUCCAAUUUUUUCUGGCCGCUAUGUUGCACCCCUGAUUUUUUCCUUCAUAUGACAGACUUCACAGCAAAUACUCCUACUGAGUCCAAACAACCGCUACGAUUGAGAACAAGCAUGAAUCCGCCACCCACCUUCUCCUGGAAAUAAGGUUAUUGGGUUGCUGAACUCCCAUGAACCAAAAAGAAAACACUGAACGGUAUCCAAACCAGCCUGGAAGGGACAGCGAGAAAAGCCAGAACCAAGGCUGACCAGCCUGAAUGCUGGUAAAUGUUAUCAAGAAUCUGGAGCAGGAGCCUCAGUCUCAUAUCAAAAGGAGAAGAACCUGAAGAAAACACUUCUCUUCCUUCUCUCUGCCUAGGGGCAGUGACCUUGGAUUCAACCACCAUCAUCCCUUCCAGACACCAGAGGGGGGAGUCCCACAAGGCAGAAGGUGCCCCUGUGACCCAUCCACUUCCCUUCCAUGUUCUUUACCUCCUUGCUCAGGAAGCCAUAAAGUUGAGCUGAGUAGAAGGUGAAUUUCAUUGCAAAGUUUACACAGACUCUGCUGACAGGUUCAUGAAAACACUACUGAAUAUGUUACAUACCACCAAUGCUCACAGCACAUCCUGUGUUGGAAGUGAUACUUUUCCAUUACCAGUAACCCUCCUUUUGUCCUAGGAGCUCACUGAACAGCUAAAAUCAGGUGAUAUUUUUAUGUGGAACAUGCAACGUAUUAAGUCCUUUUGCUCAGUGACCCAAAAAGGAACUAAACGGUACCCAGACUAGAAAUCAAUGUCAAAUUAUUCAAAUAAAUUCCACUUAAAGAA
rnacentral:lncRNA from 1 species